rnacentral:rRNA from 1 species
GACGAACGCUGGCGGCGUGCUUAACACAUGCCAGUCGAACGGAAAGGCCCUGCUUUUGCUGCGUUCUCGAGUGGCGAACGCGUGAGUAACACGUGAGUAACCCCCCCUUGACUUUGGGAUAACUUCAGGAAACUGGGGCUAAUACCGGAGAGGAGCUCCUGCUGCAUGGUGGGGGUUGGUAAGUUUCGGCUGUUGGGGAUGUACUCGCGGCUUAUCAGCUUGUUGGUGUGGUAGUGGCGUACCAGGGCUAUGACGGAUAGGCGGCCUAGGAGGUGGGCCGGCCACAUUGGGACUGAGAUACGGCGCAGUAUGCUACGGGAGGCAGCAGGGGGGAAUAUUGCACAAUGGGCGGAAGCCUGAUGCAGCAACGCCGCGUGCGGGAUGACGGCCUUCGGGUUGUAAACCGCUUUCGCCUGUGACGAAGCGUGAGUGACGGUAAUGGGUAAAGAAGCACCGGCUAACUACGUG